rnacentral:rRNA from 1 species
UACGUAGGGUGCGAGCGUUAAUCGGAAUUACUGGGCGUAAAGCGUGCGCAGGCGGUUUUGUAAGUCAGAUGUGAAAUCCCCGGGCUUAACCUGGGAAUGGCAUUUGGGACUGCAAGGCUGGAGUUUGGCAGAGGAGACUGGAAUUCCUGGUGUAGCAGUGAAAUGCGUAGAUAUCAGGAGGAACACCGAUGGCGAAGGCAGGUCUCUGGGCUGAAACUGACGCUCAUGCACGAAAGCGUGGGGAGCAAACGGG